GUACUCAGUUUGCCAGCACACAUAUGAAAAUUGAAAUGAUACAGAGACUAGCAUGGCCCCUGAGCAAGGAUGACAUGUAAAUUCAUGCAGUGUUCCAUACUCUC